rnacentral:rRNA from 1 species
UACGGAGGGGACUAGCGUUGUUCGGAAUUACUGGGCGUAAAGCGCACGUAGGCGGAUUUGUAAGUCAGGGGUGAAACCCCGGGGCUCGACCUCGGAACUGCCUUUGAUACUGCAAAUCUCGAGUCCGGAAGAGGUGAGUGGAAUUCCUAGUGUAGAGGUGAAAUUCGUAGAUAUUAGGAAGAACACCAGUGGCGAAGGCGGCUCACUGGUCCGGUACUGACGCUGAGGUGCGAAAGCGUGGGGAGCAAACAGG